rfam:Oryza nivara chromosome 4, whole genome shotgun sequence.
AAUAAGUGUAGUUUUGUAUUAUUUAUGUUCAACUUUUAACCGUUCGUCUUAUUUAAAAUUUUUUUAUGAUUAGUAUUUUUAUUGUUAUUAGAUGACAAAACAUGAAUAGUAUUUUAUGUGUGACUAAUUUUUUUAAAAAUUUUCAUAAAUUUUUCAAAUAAGACGAACGGUCAAACAUCGGAUAUGGUUCCCCAUGACUACACUUAUU